rnacentral:snoRNA from 1 species
GUGUCAAUGAUGGAAAACUUUCCUGGCUGAGAACAGUGAUGUUGUCAAAGGAACCACUGAUGCAC